CAUGAGCAGACAAAAGGCCAAGGCCUACAACACUCCAACACAAAGGGAGCAGGGGACUCUCAAUAGGCUUAGCUAAGCUAAAGCCUUACAAAAACAUGAACGAUUACAAAUUCAAAUGAAGCUUACUGAAUCUGGGAACAGAUUGUACAUGCAUCGAUAAACUUGAAUCUGAAUCCUCCUUAUAAUGGCUUCUGGAUGCUUGAUUUUCCCUUCAAAGUUCCUCUGGUUUCUGGCCUCCCAAAGGUGAUAGAUUGUGCAGGCAAGGCUGAUUCGUUUGAUCUUGGCUGGAGCACCCGUGCCCCUGGCUUCCUUGAUCAACCAUUUAACU
rnacentral:lncRNA from 1 species